rnacentral:rRNA from 1 species
UACGUAGGGGGCAAGCGUUGUCCGGAAUCAUUGGGCGUAAAGAGCGUGUAGGCGGUCCGAUAAGUCGGUUGUGAAAGUCCAGGGCUCAACCCUGGGAUGCCGACCGAUACUGUCGGACUAGAGUUCGGAAGAGGCGAGUGGAAUUCCCGGUGUAGCGGUGAAAUGCGCAGAUAUCGGGAGGAACACCGGUGGCGAAGGCGGCUAUCUGGACAGAAACUGACGCUGAGGCGCGAAAGCUAGGGGAGCAAACAGGG